rnacentral:rRNA from 1 species
GACGAACCUUGCUAACGUUAUUCGGAAUUACUGGGCGUAAAGGGUGCGUAGGCGGCCGCGCAAGUCUGGCGUGAAAGCCCCGGGCUCAGCCCGGGAAGGGCGCUCGAAACGGCGCGGCUCGAGUGCCGGAGGGGAGAGUGGAAUUCCUGGUGUAGCGGUGAAAUGCGUAGAUAUCGGGAGGAACACCAGUGGCGAAGGCGACUUCCUGGCCUGUUCUUGACGCUGAGGCGCGAAAGCUAGGGGAGCAAACGGG